AACACGGCACUGUAGUUUUUCUGAAAUGACAGUCCCAGCAGUCCCCCAGGUGCUCACUCAGCCACACUGGUGUUCAGCCUUGGGAAGGCCGAGUGACAAGGAAUCCCAGCCUGUGCCUCACGGUGCCUACUGAGUGACUCUGAAGGCUGAGCAGGGGACAAGGGCCAGGCUGUGGUGCCUUUCAGGUGGCACUUGGCAGUUUGUUUUGUACUCAGAUUCAUAAUUGUCGUCGAACAGGUUCACAGCAGCUCCUUGUGCAGCAUCCAGGACUGAGGGUGACUCCAAGACCACGCUCCAGUCAUUUCUCAGUGUUCCCUUGAAGCAGGGGACACGAGAAGGAUCAAGGACUUACAAGAGGAGAAAGGGACACAAUGGGGAUCAGAGAAGAACGACCGACAGAAGAAAAAAAAAACAUCAGAAGAAGAACAGCAGCACCAUCAUCAUCACCAACUGCUUUUGCAGCCCAAGACAGCAGAACUCCACGCCGAGAAGCUGCUACCCUGAACAUCGGGACCUUAUACCAGAGAGCUGCUGCUCAGAACUCGGGACUUAAUGCGAAAAACUUUUAGCAAAUACUUUAACACUCAACUUUUUGCCUUUGAGACUGAUGCUUUUAUACAAUAAAAACCUCUCUAACAAACA